rnacentral:rRNA from 1 species
GACGAACGCUGGCGGCGUGCUUAACACAUGCAAGUCGAACGGAAAGGCCCUGCUUUUGUGGGGUGCUCGAGUGGCGAACGGGUGAGUAACACGUGAGUAACCUGCCCUUGACUUUGGGAUAACUUCAGGAAACUGGGGCUAAUACCGGAUAGGAGCUCCUGCUGCAUGGUGGGGGUUGGAAAGUUUCGGCGGUUGGGGAUGGACUCGCGGCUUAUCAGCUUGUUGGUGGGGUAGUGGCUUACCAAGGCUUUGACGGGUAGCCGGCCUGAGGGGGUGACCGGCCACAUUGGGACUGAGAUACGGCCCAGACUCCUACGGGAGGCAGCAGUGGGGAAUAUUGCACAAUGGGCGGAAGCCUGAUGCAGCAACGCCGCGUGCGGGAUGACGGCCUUCGGGUUGUAAACCGCUUUCGCCUGUGACGAAGCGUGAGUGACGGUAAUGGGUAAAGAAGCACCGGCUAACUACGUGCCAGCAGCCGCGGUGAUACGUAGGGUGCGAGCGUUGUCCGGAUUUAUUGGGCGUAAAGGGCUCGUAGGUGGUUGAUCGCGUCGGAAGUGUAAUCUUGGGGCUUAACCCUGAGCGUGCUUUCGAUACGGGUUGACUUGAGGAAGGUAGGGGAGAAUGGAAUUCCUGGUGGAGCGGUGGAAUGCGCAGAUAUCAGGAGGAACACCAGUGGCGAAGGCGGUUCUCUGGGCCUUUCCUGACGCUGAGGAGCGAAAGCGUGGGGAGCGAACAGGCUUAGAUACCCUGGUAGUCCACGCUGUAGACGGUGGGUACUAGGUGUGGGGUCCAUUCCACGGGUUCCGUGCCGUAGCUAACGCUUUAAGUACCCCGCCUGGGGAGUACGGCCGCGAGGCUAAAACUCAAAGGAAUUGACGGGGCCCCGCACAAGCGGCGGAGCAUGCGGAUUAAUUCGAUGCAACGCGUAGAACCUUACCUGGGUUUGACAUGGAUCGGGAGUGCUCAGAGAUGGGUGUGCCUCCUUUGGGGUCGGUUCACAGGUGGUGCAUGGCUGUCGUCAGCUCGUGUCGUGAGAUGUUGGGUUAAGUCCCGCAACGAGCGCAACCCUUGUUCACUGUUGCCAGCACGUUAUGGUGGGGACUCAGUGGAGACCGCCGGGGUCAACUCGGAGGAAGGUGGGGAUGGCGUCAAGUCAUCAUGCCCCUUAUGUCCAGGGCUUCACGCAUGCUACAAUGGCUGGUACAGAGAGUGGCGAGCCUGUGAGGGUGAGCGAAUCUCGGAAAGCCGGUCUCAGUUCGGAUUGGGGUCUGCAACUCGACCUCACGAAGUCGGAGUCGCUAGUAAUCGCAGAUCAGCAACGCUGCGGUGAAUACGUUCCCGGG